rnacentral:rRNA from 1 species
GAUGAACGCUGGCGGCGUGCCUAAUACAUGCAAGUCGAGCGAACAGACGAGGAGCUUGCUCCUCUGACGUUAGCGGCGGACGGGUGAGUAACACGUGGAUAACCUACCUAUAAGACUGGGAUAACUUCGGGAAACCGGAGCUAAUACCGGAUAAUAUAUUGAACCGCAUGGUUCAAUAGUGAAAGACGGUUUUGCUGUCACUUAUAGAUGGAUCCGCGCCGCAUUAGCUAGUUGGUAAGGUAACGGCUUACCAAGGCAACGAUGCGUAGCCGACCUGAGAGGGUGAACGGCCACACUGGAACUGAGACACGGUCCCGACUCCUACGGGAGGCAGCAGUAGGGAAUCUUCCGCAAUGGGCGAAAGCCUGACGGAGCAACGCCGCGUGAGUGAUGAAGGUCUUCGGAUCGUAAAACUCUGUUAUUAGGGAAGAACAAAUGUGUAAGUAACUAUGCACGUCUUGACGGUACCUAAUCAGAAAGCCACGGCUAACUACGUG